GGUUUGAUCAUGGCUCAGAUUGAACGCUGGCGGGAUGCUUUACAUGCAAGUCGAACGGCAGCAAUGGGACUUCGGUCUGGUGGCGAGUGGCGAACGGGUGAGUAAUGUAUCGGAACGUGCCUAGUAGCGGGGGAUAACUACGCGAGCGUAGCUAAUACCGCAUACUGGCCCUUCGGGGGAAAGCGGGGGACCUUUCGGGCCUCGCACUAUUAGAGCGGCUGAUAUCGGAUUAGCUAGUUGGUGGGGUAACGGCUCACCAAGGCGACGAUCCGUAGCUGGUUUGAGAGGACGACCAGCCACACUGGGACUGGAGACACGGCCCAGACUCCUACGGGAGGCAGUGGGGAAUUUUGGACAAUGGGGAAACCCUGAUCCAGCCAUCCCGCGUGUGCGAUGAAGGCCUUCGGGUUGUAAAGCACUUUUUUGGCAGGGAAAGAAACGGCACGGGAUAAUACCCCGUGCAACUGACGGUACCCGCAGAAUAAGCACCGGCUAACUACGUGCCAGCAGCCGCGGUAAUACGUAGGGCAAGCGUUAAUCGGAAUUACUGGGCGUAAAGCGUGCGCAGGCGGUUCGGAAAGAAAGAUGAAAUCCUGCAGAGCUUAACUUUGGAACUGCAUUUUUAACUACCGAGCUAGAGUGUGUCAGAGAGGUGGAAUUCCGCGUGUAGCAGUGAAAUGCGUAGAUAUGCGGAGGAACACCGAUGAUGAAGGCAGCCUCCUGGGAUAACACUGACGCCUAUGCACGAAAGCGUGGGGAGCAAACAGGAUUAGAUACCCCAGAAGUCCACGCCCUAAACGAUGUCAACUAGCUGUUGGGGCCUUCGGGCCUUGGUAGCGCAGCUAACGCGUGAAGUUGACCGCCUGGGGAGUAUUGUCGCAAGAUUAAAACUCAAAGGAAUGACGGGGACCCGCACAAGCGGUGGAUGAUGUGGAUUAAUUCGAUGCAACGCGAAAAACCUUACUCCACCCUUCUUGACAUGUCUGGAAUCCCGAAGAGAUUUGGAGUGCUCUCGCAAGAGCAAUGGAACACAGGUGCUGCAUGGCUGUCGUCAGCUCGUGUCGUGAGAUGUUGAAGGUUCCGCAAUUGAGCGCAACCCUUGUCAUUAGUUGCUACGAAAGGGCACUCUAAUGAGACUGCCGGUGAGAAACUGGAGGAAGGUGGGGAUGACGUCAAGUCCUCAUGGCCCUUGAGGGUAGGGCUUCACACGUCAUACAAUGGUCGGGACAGAGGGUCGCCAACCCGCGAGGGGGAGCCAAUCCCAGAAACCCGAUCGUAGGUCCGGAUCGCAGUCUGCAACUCGACUGCGUGAAGUCGGAAUCGCUAGUAAUCGCGGAUCAGCAUGUCGCGGUGAAUACGUUCCUGGUCUUGUACACACCGCCCGUCACACCAUGGGAGUGGGUUUCACCAGAAGUAGUUAGCCUAACCGUAAGGAGGGCGAUUACCACGGUAGGAUUCAUGACUGGGGUGAAGUCGUAACAAGGUAG
rnacentral:rRNA from 1 species